UGUUGGGCAGGGAGGGCACCAGAGGAAGACCGUUGGGGGGGUGUGCUCCGGGAGGGACAGGCGACUCCCAGCCCUGCCUGAAUCCCUUACACACACGCUCAGCGUGAAGGAGGUGAGCCUUUCCCAGGGACGGAGUGUGCUGUUGCCUGCAGGCAGAGGAAGCGUAGUUGUUCCGCCCAGGGGGAACCUGGUAAAGCUGCUUCAGCACCCACCCCUUCCACCGUGAUGGUCUCAUUCACUCCUAGAGCUUCAGCUCCCACAGGACUCGGAUCCUGCUGUGGACUGACCUGUUCCCUGAGCUACAGCCCACCCCACCUGGACGCCUGCAGUGGGCCCAGCAAACUCCCCCUCCUGCUGGUGGCAGCCCCCGCGUUCUCCUCUGGGGAACCUUCCAAAGGGCAGUUCACAACACUGUCCCAUUUUGGCCUGAGCUGGUCUAAGCUGGGUUUUUGUCACUUGCUUUCAAAAGCUCCUGGAACAAGCUCCCGGCGGCCCUCCUCAGACCCAGACCGCAGCCCACGCGGCUGCUCGUCCCACUUCCACCUCUUCACCUGGGCCCGCACGACCUGAGCAGCUUCCUGGCUGGGCCUCGGGCUCCGCCGCCCUGCACUCUGCCGCGGGAGGUUUCUAGCGCCAGCUCUGCUCCCGUAACAGACCCUCAUCGACCCCACCUGCUGCCAGGACGGCGCUCUCCUUCCACAUCCGCAGCUCCACUCCCGUGCCCCACGUGCGCUUCUCGCCGUCCCCGCCCCGCCCCCGAGCACCCCGGGGCCACUCCACAACAUCGUCCCCUCCGGGGGGGGACUGGCCUGCACGUUCCCCCGAGACCCCCGCACCUUUGCCUUUCCUACCUGGGCCCGCGCGUCCCGGCGUCCGCGGGAAGUGGCGGAGUGAAGGCGGGAAGGACACGCCCACCACGUGCCUCCAGGUCCCGCCCCGCCCCGCCCCGCCCCGCCCCUUCCAGGUGACUCCUCCCCGGCCCGGCUCCUCAGCCCCUUUCGGAGAUCCCGGUGAAAUCCUUGUGAAAUUCACCUCCAAGACGACUACCCGCACUUUUUUGGUCCUUUCUUUCCCCCAAUUAAACAAAAACGUUAAAAAAAAAAAGGCAAUGCAGCGGGGAGGGAUGACCAGGUGGAGCGUGGAGGAUUUUUAGGGAAUGAAACUAGUCCAUGUGAUACUGCGAAGGCGGAUCCACGUCGGGCACGUUUGUCCAAACCCACCGGACACCUGACCGAGAGCGAGCCCGCGUGUAAACAGCGCACUGUGGGCAGCGGUGACCGUGACCCUGCAGGUUCAUCCGUCAUAUAAACGCCCCCGCGGUGGGGAUGUGAGGAUGGGGGGAGGGUGGGCAGAGGGCAUGCGGGAAAUCUCUGCACCUUCUCAAUUUUGCUGUGAGCCUAAAACUAUUCUUUAAAAAACUGUCUUACCGAAAAAGACAAUAGGAAAAGCUGGCCUGGUGCAGGUUAGUUUCAAUAAAAAUUCUCACAUGUAUACCUCCUUUUGAGCUCACCAUGCCACGCGCUUCCCCCACCUCACCCCACGCCCACACCAGCUCUGCCCACGCCCUUCCCCCAGCUCAGCCCACCCUCUCCCCGCCUCUGCUUUCACUCCCCUCUCAGCCUGGCGGGUCCCCUUGUCCCUUCACUCAGUUACAACGCCGGCAAGUUUCGGCCCCACUUUCUCUGCAGGAUCCAAACCCUGGCGAGUGAGCACCUACCUCAGGGAGGGAGGGCUGGGCUGAGGCCCUGGCGCUGGUGAUCUGGGAGAGAAAACAGCUCACUGGACAUGGGUGAAGACACGAAACAAACCUCACAGGAGCAGAAGCUGCAAUGUGCAAGUGCCGGAUAAACACAUCCGAGAGUGAGGAGGGAACGGAAACUGGGCCCAGCUAAAGCAGCAACAGUCAAUGAAAAAAAAUAGUACUGAGAAACAGGA